CUCUGUUCUAUUUUUCUCAAAAACUUCAAAAUGAGGCAGUGGCAGAAAUGACCCAUUUUUCUCAUUUUGUAUAAUUUUGUAUUUAAAUUCUCACUAUUGGGGACCUUCAUAAUAAUGAGAUUUAGCCAGAGCCUUGCACCAGUUUUAAAGAAGGACUUCAUUCAGAAGACAGUGUUCUGAAUUGGAAAUAGAUCAAGGAAAAAGAAAAAACUUCGAUGCAAAGGAAAAAGAGAAAGUGAAGCGAGCUAUAAUCAACCAAGUAUAACAGCCAGAUCUUGUUCCACUACUCCAGUUAAAAUGAUGCAUCAGUAAUAACGAAGUCUGGAAGGACCACACCCAUCCCUCCACAGCCUCAGCCUCUGCUGCUUUGUCCAUCAGGCAUCCCUGAGUUCACUUGGCAUGGAAGGAGUCCUGAUGCUGAGCCACUUCAUUUGGACAGAGCUCCACAACGUCUUUAUCUGGCCGAUUCUAGUUUAGUCGUUUCCUCUGAGAAAACCAUCCAUAAGGCCAGAGAAGGAACCGGUCCUUCACAGUAGCUCCU
rnacentral:lncRNA from 1 species